CAGAGAGGAUACACAGGACAAAAUGUUCUGGAUGGGUUAUUUGGAGGUUUAUGUGGCUGCAAUAGAAUGCUUAAUCUGGAAAUGAAUGGAACCAGAGUGCUGACCUAGCAGAGCCUGGCAUGGUGCUGUCCCAGAGUCUCUUUAACAGAAAUACCUAGUUACUGUGCUGUUGUGGGUGAAGUUAGGACUGUGGCUGGAGUCUGGGUAGGAUACAGCAUGAAAUCUUCCCAAACCUGAACCCAACUUUACUGAUUCUAAAAGAACUGCACAGAUCUCUGCCUGCACAAGCAGUGGCUACUCCUGGAGUGGAGGGGCCCGCAAGAACCAUGGACUGGCCAUAAUUGUCUGCGCCUUCGUCAGAGGAUCUGACCCAUGGCAGGGAAGUGAUGCAUGGCUGCUGUCUUCAACGAGGAGGUCAUUGUUCUGAAAUAAAUUCUCUCCUUCCAUCCUGCUCUGCUGUCCUGAUUUAUUACAAACAAACACAGCAGCAGUGUUCCAAGCACAAUAAAGGGGCUGAAGGAAUCUAACAGACUGCACCAUUCUCUCUAAAGAUGGUUACCUCAUGCUUUAAAUGCCUACAUAUUGUACAGCCCCAGUAGGCCUUCCAUCAUAAUGGAGGAGCAGCUGCAUCUCCAGCCCACAUACCAUGUACUAUUGCAACUGAGCUUAAGUGUGCUGGCUGGACCCAAACCUCAGUGAUUUAUAGCCGAGCACUGGUGGGCUGAGUCCAGAGCCCUGUUAAGGCCACAGCCUGCAGCCAUUCUGUCCCUGUCCUGCACUUGGCUCAAAUGCAUUGUUUGGUAGUGUCUGGGGCUGCCCAAACUACUGCCUCUCCUUUGGCAUUAUUUCUAACUGAACCGUCCCCAUCUGAACAAAACAAGAAUGAGAGAUACAGCCCUGUAACUGCAUUCAACUCUGUAAACUACAAGGGAUGUUUUCCAACUUUGAUCAUCAGGCAAGGGAGUGUGAGAUAGCAAGAGAAGACAGAGCUCAACAAACAUCAAAUAAGAGGUCACAGGAACAAGACGCAAAGGAGAGGGAAGUGAGAGGACAAAAGUGGUGAAGGAAAAGGAAAUAAAUAAAAAAUAUUUUCUCGUUGUCACAAUGAUAUCAUUACAUUAUUUAGAAUGGAAGCAUGGGGCUGCAUGAC